UACGUAGGGGGCAAGCGUUGUCCGGAUUUAUUGGGCGUAAAGAGCGUGUAGGCGGCUAGGUAGGUCCGUUGUGAAAACUCGAGGCUCAACCUCGAGACGCCGAUGGAAGCCAUCUGGCUAGAGUCCGGAAGAGGAGAGUGGAAUUCCUGGUGUAGCGGUGAAAUGCGCAGAUAUCAGGAAGAACACCCGUGGCUAAGGCGGCUCUCUAGUACGGUACUGACGCUGAGACGCGAAAGCGUGGGGAGCGAACAGG
rnacentral:rRNA from 1 species